rnacentral:sRNA from 12 species
GUCCUAUACAGAUGCAUCAACGCAAGACAGUGGAACAUCUCCCUGUAGGAUGAAAUUCAUCAGAAGCUCUGACAACAAAUCUUAUUGUGUGGCUACGGUCGAAAUGGGAUGAGUCAGAGUGGAAUAGGUUAACCGUAGAACUUUUGGUUGAAAAACCAUAAAACAAAUCUAAGAAUAUGACUUCUGCAUUUUCACUAUUUUUAGUUACGGUUCU